UACGUAGGGUGCGAGCGUUAAUUGGAUUUACUGGGCGUAAAGCGUGCGCAGGCGGCCCGUUAAGACAGGUGUGAAAUCCCUGGGCUCAACCUAGGAAUUGCGCUUGUGACUGGCGGGCUCGAGUACGGUAGAGGGGGGUGGAAUUCCUGGUGUAGCAGUGAAAUGCGUAGAGAUCAGGAGGAACACCGAUGGCGAAGGCAGCCCCCUGGGCCUGUACUGACGCUCAUGCACGAAAGCGUGGGGAGCAAACAGG
rnacentral:rRNA from 1 species